rnacentral:rRNA from 1 species
UACGAAGGGGGCGAGCGUUGUUCGGAUUUACUGGGCGUAAAGGGCGCGUAGGCGCUUGUCAGUCAGGCGUGAAAGCCCCGGGCUCAACCUGGGAACGGCGCUUGGGACGGCGAGGCUGGAGUUCGGGAGAGGAGAGUGGAAUUCCCAGUGUAGAGGUGAAAUUCGUAGAUAUUGGGAAGAACACCAGUGGCGAAGGCGGCUUACUGGUC